rnacentral:rRNA from 1 species
GAUAAACGCUAGCGGCAGGCCUAACACAUGCAAGUCGAGGGGCAGCAUAGAAGUAGUUUACUACUUUUGAUGGCGACCGGCGCACGGGUGCGUAACGCGUAUGCAACCUACCAUUAACAGGGGGAUAAUUCGGAGAAAUCUGGUCUAAUACCCCAUAUUAUUAUAUAAGGCAUCUUAUAUAGUUGAAAGUUCCGGCGGUUAAUGAUGGGCAUGCGUUGUAUUAGUUAGUUGGUGAGGUAACGGCUCACCAAGGCAACGAUACAUAGGGGGACUGAGAGGUUUUCCCCCCACACUGGUACUGAGACACGGACCAGACUCCUACGGGUGGCAGCAGUGAGGAAUAUUGGUCAAUGGACGCAAGUCUGAACCAGCCAUGCCGCGUGCAGGAAGACGGCUCUACGAGUUGUAAACUGCUUUUGUACGGGGGUAAAUGUACUUACGUGUAAGUAUUUGAAAGUACCGUACGAAUAAGGAUCGGCUAACUCCGUGCCAGCCGCCGCGGUAAGAC